rnacentral:tRNA from 1 species
GCCUGGGUGGCUCAGUUGGUUGAGCGUCUGACUUCUGCUCAGGUACAUGAUCUCACAGUUCAUGAGUUUAAGCCCCGUGUCAGGCU